AGAAUUUAUGGGUGGUAGGUGGAUGCCUUGGGACGGAGAGGCGACGAAGGACGUGGCGAACCUGCGAUAAGCUCCGGGGAGGUGGUCGCAACCUAUGAUCCGGAGAUCUCCGAAUGGGGUAACCUAUUCCGACGAUAAGUCGGAAUACUCUGACGUUUAUCGUCAGAGGGCGAACCCGGGGAAGUGAAACAUCUCAGUACCCGGAGGAAAAGAAAGUAACAACGAUUCCCUUAGUAGCGGCGAGCGAACAGGGAGGAGCCCAAACUAACAGCUUCUUUUGAAGCUGUUAGGGUUGUAGGAUAGGAAGGAGGGCUUAGCCCGGAAAAAUUAACUUAGUUAGCCGAAUGAUCCUGGAAAGGACAACCAUAGAGGGUGAAAGUCCCGUAGGUUAAAACUAAGUUAAUUUUUCUGCUUCCUAUUCCUGAGUAGCUCGAGUGCAAGAAAACCUCGAGUGAAUCCGCCUGGACUAUCAGGCAAGGCUAAAUACUCCUCCGUCACCGAUAGUGCACCAGUACCGUGAGGGAAAGGUGAAAAGUAGGGAGGUGAUCCCGGUGAAAUAGAACCUGAAACCUACCACUUACAAAGAGUCGGAGCUCUAACGUAUGUUAGAGUGACGGCGUACUUUUUGCAGAACGGACCAGCGAGUUUAGUUGUUCUCCGAGUCGAAGGGCAGUUAAUCAGCCCUAAGGCGGAGCGAAAGCGAGUGCGAAUAGCGCGUUUAGGAGGACAACUAAGACCCGAAGCCGAGCGAGCUUACCAUGGGCAGGGUGAACCUCGACGAAAGUCGAGGGGAGGCCCGAACCCGUGAGUCGAGCAAUACUCUGGGAUGACCUGUGGUAAGUAGUAAAAAGCUAAUCGAGCUCGGGAAUAGCUGGUUCUCCCCGAAAUAUAUCUGAGUAUAGCCCUGGAAAUUACUUUCCGGAGGUAGAGCUCUGGAAGGUACGCUCGUGGAUUCUAUCCAGGUGUACCUACCAAACUUCGAAUGCCGGAAAGACUAUUCCAGGAGUCAGAACUAGGGCGCUAACGUCCUAGCUCGAGAGGGGUACAACCCAGACCUCCGUCUAAGGUCCCUAAAUUCAGGCUAAGUACACUCAAGGAAGUAGGAUUUCUAAGAUAACUAGGAGGUUGGCUUAGAAGCAGCCAUCCUUUAAAGAGUGCGUAACAGCUCACUAGUUGAGAAAUCCUGCACCGAAAAUACACGGGGUUUAAGCCUGAUACCGAAGACGAGGACUCCAACAUUGUGUUGGAGUGGUAGGGGAGCUUUCCUUUCGCAGUGAAGCUUAGGCGUGAGCCUAUGUGGAGCGAAAGGAAGUGAGAAUGCUGGCGUGAGUAAUCGCAACUCCGGUGAGAUCCCGGAGGGCCGGAAACCCAAGGUUUCCUCAGCAAUGGCAAUCACCUGAGGGUUAGGCGGUCCUUAGGUCAAAGCCGAAAGGUUUUGGCUGAUGGAUAGCAGGUUAAUAUUCCUGCCCCUGUAUACCUUUCUGAAGGGUGACGUAGAAAACAAGCUUAGAUGGGAUUAGUGAAUUUCCUUAGGGGUUUACUACCCCGUUUCUAAGCGAGUUUUCUACCUAGAAAAGCCCGUAGGAUUAAAGGUAUACAGACCGUACCUCAAAACCGACACAGGUGGGUUGGUGUAAGAGCACCAAGGCCAACGGGUGAAAGCUCCUGAAGGAACUCGGCAAAAAAGCAGCCGUAAGUUCGCGAUAAGGCUUGCCCAACCUCAUAAGAGCGUUGGGCCGCAGCGAAAGUUUCUCUGGCGACUGUUUAUCAAAAACACAGGUCCCUGCUUAACUCGUAAGAGGAUGUAUAGGGGCUGAGGCCUGACCAGUGCCGGAACGUUAAACCCGGGGGUCUAUACUGUUUUUCAGUAUAGGCUCACUGGGCUAAGCACCGGUAAACGUCCGCGGUAACUAUAACCGUGUUAAAGUAGCGUAAUCCCUUGCCAGGUAAGUUCUGGCCCGCAUGAAAGGCUUAACGACCGGAGAACUGUCUCCAGGAGCUGCCCGAUGAAAACACAGUGGUAGUGAAGAUGCUACCUUCCUGCAGCUAGACAGAAAGACCCUAGGAGCUUUACUGGAGGAUGGUAUUGCAUAUUGAAUCUGGAUGCGUAGCGUAGCGGGGAGGCUAUGAAGCCCACCUUUCGGGGUGGGUGGAGCCGCCAAUGAAACACCCGCCUUUCAGGUUCAAUAUGCUAACCUGAGCGAAACUCAGGGACAGUGCUAUCCGGACAGUUUAAGUGGGGCGCUUUCCUCCUAAAGAGUAACGGAGGAGUCCAAAGGUUGGCUAGACAGGGAUGGAAAUCCUGUUCGGUCCUACAAAGGGAUAAGCCAGCCUUACUGUGAGGCGGAUAUGCCGAGCAGUUGGGAAACCAGGGCUUAGUGAACCGACUCUGGUUCAUAGGACCGGAGGAGAUCAUCAGAUAAAAGUUACCCUAGGGAUAACAGGCUGGUAGGGCCCGCGAGUCCAUAUCUACGGCCCUGUUCGGCACCUCGAUGUCGGCUCACCCCAUCCUGGGGCUGGAGAAGGUCCCAAGGGUCUGGCUGUUCGCCAGUUAAAGGGGUGCGUGAGCUGGGUUCAAACCGUCGUGAGACAGGUUGGUCCCUAUCUACUGCAGGCGUUUGGAACCUUGAGGGGGGCUGUCCCUAGUACGAGAGGACCGGGAUGGGCUGACCUCUGGUGUACCAGCUGUCUCGUCAGAGGCACCGCUGGGUAGCUAAGUCAGUUUGAGAUAAGCGCUGAAAGCAUCUAAGCGCGAAGCUCGCCCCAAGAUUAGGGUUCCAUAUAGGCUGGUGCAAGACUAGCACCUUGAUAGGCCGCGGGUGUAAGGGCAGUAAUGCCUUUAGCCAAGCGGUACUAAUAGCCGAUCU
rnacentral:rRNA from 1 species